rnacentral:lncRNA from 1 species
CCUGAACCUCCUAUCAAAACCAAAAGAUGACAUUCGCCUACCACGAAGGGCCUGACAAAGUCUAAGUGGCGACAAUUGCCUACCCCGAAGGGCCUGACAAUGCCAAAGUGACGACAAUUGCCUACCCCGAAGGGCCUGACAAUGCCAAAGUGACCACCUGCCGAAGAGGCUACCAUCGAAUGGUCAGCGAGUCCUCCCGAACCUCCUAACUCCGAGGUGGCAUUUGCUGUGCCUGUCAGAAUAUGGAUGAGCUAC